UACGUAGGGUGCGAGCGUUGUCCGGAAUUAUUGGGCGUAAAGAGCUCGUAGGCGGUCUGUCGCGUCGGCUGUGAAAACCCGGAGCUCAACUCCGGGCCUGCAGUCGAUACGGGCAGACUGGAGUUCGGCAGGGGAGACUGGAAUUCCUGGUGUAGCGGUGAAAUGCGCAGAUAUCAGGAGGAACACCGGUGGCGAAGGCAAUCCCCUGGGCCUGCACUGACGCUCAUGCACGAAAGCGUGGGGAGCAAACAGG
rnacentral:rRNA from 1 species